GCAUCGUUCUGUAAAGAAGAGUACAACAAAAGACAGAAAAACAGAAAUGCAGCCAAUUCUUGAUCAUCUCUUCAAAGAGAGGGAAAUAUUUCUGCAAAUCAGCCAAAAGAUUCAUACUGGAGAGAAUAAUAUUUAAACUUGAGUCUCCAGCGGCAACAUUUCAAAGCAUCUGGAAAGGAAGGAUGUUUCCAGGCUGAGAAGAAGGCAUGUUGUCUGAAGUGCAGAAGCCACCUUGUGACCACAAAGAGCAGGCAUGAAGAAUCACAAAGUGCCAACCGUGAUGUCCCCCAUCCGCUGAAUCGAAGCCAGUAGCUGCUUACCUCCAGACGUCUUAUCAUGUGAGAAAACUGAAGACCUAUUUGUUUAAUCCAGUGUUAAUUGUGUCCUCUGUUUCUUGAAGUUAAAGCUUUCUGGUUUGAUUCUACCAAGGCGCUUUGCCCACUGGGAUGACUCUGCCAGAUCAGGAAGAGCUGUGGCCGAGAACACAUGCAACAAGGACAAAAAUUAUGUCUCCUGUCUUGCAAGUUGAAAAGUUAUCACAUAUUGUAAACCAAAAACCCUCUAGUCCCUGAAUUUAAUUUUGUUAUCCAUAUCCCUUGUCGCUCGGACUCUCCAAACCUCCCUUCAAUGACCUGUUACCAUAUUUUCCUGCAGAGUUUUAUGACUCUCUUGGUUGGUUGUAGGUGUUUAAUGAUAAUAAUAAUCCAGGUUCUCCUUACAUCGUUAUUAUAGUGCAGGGUCCUGAAGAGCACUCCCUUGGCCUGUCUGAACAGGAAAUGAAAUUGUAUAGAUGGUAUGAUCACAUCCAUAUAAAAGCUCAAAUUAGAUGACAAAUAAAAAAUUAUGGAAGAGAAAUCUACUAGAUUA